rnacentral:rRNA from 1 species
AACGAACGCUGGCGGCAUGCCUAACACAUGCAAGUCGAACGAGACCUUCGGGUCUAGUGGCGCACGCGUGCGUAACGCGUGGGAACCUGCCCUUAGGUUCGGAAUAACUCCCCGAAAGGGGUGCUAAUACCGGAUAAUGUCUUCGGACCAAAGAUUUAUCGCCCUUGGAUGGGCCCGCGUUGGAUUAGCUAGUUGGUAGGGUAAAAGCCUACCAAGGCGACGAUCCCUAGCUGGUCUGAGAGGAUGAUCAGCCACACUGGGACUGAGACACGGCCCAGACUCCUACGGGAGGCAGGAGAGGGGAAUAUUGGACAAUGGGCGAAGGCCUGAUACAGCAAUGCCGGGUGAGUGAUGAAGGGCUUAGGGUUGUAAAGCUCUUUUACCCGGGAUGAUAAUGACAGUACCGGGAGAAUAAGCUCCGGCUAACUACGUG